UAGGGAAUCUUCGGCAAUGGGGGCAACCCUGACCGAGCAACGCCGCGUGAGUGAAGAAGGUUUUCGGAUCGUAAAGCUCUGUUGUAAGAGAAGAACGAGUGUGAGAGUGGAAAGUUCACACUGUGACGGUAACUUACCAGAAAGGGACGGCUAACUACGUGCCAGCAGCCGCGGUAAUACGUAGGUCCCGAGCGUUAUCCGGAUUUAUUGGGCGUAAAGCGAGCGCAGGCGGUUAGAUAAGUCUGAAGUUGAAGGCUGUGGCUUAACCAUAGUACGCUUUGGAAACUGUUUAACUUGAGUGCAGAAGGGGAGAGUGGAAUUCCAUGUGUAGCGGUGAAAUGCGUAGAUAUAUGGAGGAACACCGGUGGCGAAAGCGGCUCUCUGGUCUGUAACUGACGCUGAGGCUCGAAAGCGUGGGGAGCAAACAGGAUUAGAUACCCUGGUAGUCCACGCGGUAAACGAUGAAUACUAGGUGUUGGUGCCCGAAGGGCAUCGGUGCCGUCGCAAACGCAAUAAGUAUUCCACCUGGGGAGUACGUUCGCAAGAAUG
rnacentral:rRNA from 1 species